rnacentral:rRNA from 1 species
CCUACGGGUGUGCAGCAGUGAGGAAUAUUGGUCAAUGGACGAGAGUCUGAACCAGCCAAGUAGCGUGAAGGAUGACUGCCCUAUGGGUUGUAAACUUCUUUUAUAUGGGAAUAAAAUGUUCCACGUGUGGGAUUUUGUAUGUACUUUAUGAAUAAGGAUCGGCUAACUCCGUGCCAGCAGCCGCGGUAAUACGGAGGAUCCGAGCGUUAUUCGGAUUUAUUGGGUUAAAAGGGAGCGUAGAUGGGUUGUUAAGUCAGUUGUGAAAGUUUGCGGCUCAACCGUAAAAUUGCAAUUGAUACUGGCAGUCUUGAGUACAGUUGAGGUAGGCGGAAUUCGUGGUGUAGCGGUGAAAUGCUUAGAGAUCAUACCGAACACCGAUUGCGAAGGCAGCUUACCAAGCUACUUCUGACGUUGAGGCACGAAAGCGUGGGGAGCAAACAGGAUAGAUACCCUGGUAGUC